rnacentral:rRNA from 1 species
UACGUAGGGGGCAAGCGUUGUCCGGAUUUAUUGGGCGUAAAGAGCGUGUAGGCGGCCUUACAGGUCAGCUGUGAAAACUCGAGGCUCAACCUCGAGACGUCGGUUGAAACCGUAUGGCUAGAGUCCGGAAGAGGAGAGUGGAAUUCCCGGUGUAGCGGUGAAAUGCGCAGAUAUCGGGAAGAACACCCGUGGCGAAGGCGGCUCUCUGGGACGGUACUGACGCUGAGACGCGAAAGCGUGGGGGCGAACAGG